UUUCUGGCCUGAGCCGCUGUGUCCUCCACCUGAAGCCCUGACCUCUCCGUUACUGACUGGAUCCCAAUGUGCCACAGUUCACCUGCAUAAGGAGGGGGUCGAAGGCAAGAAAACUGUGAGAGGCUAAGUAAUUUGCUGAGCUCAUAUGACAUCUAAAUGGCAGAGCUCAGAAACCUCAGGGAUUAGAGUGAAGUAGGAUAGAGGAAGUUAACCUUUCCAGUGCUACCUGCGGGCUGAGAAUGACGCACACAGCUUUUUUGAUACCCGGAAGUGAGACAAACUCAUAAGAUGGGGUGCUAAAAUUUACACUGCCUACGAAAGCUGACCUGGAAUGUGAACCAGAAAUUGUCCUUAACCAAAUCACCUCACUGUCUCUCAAGGGAUGGGGUCUCACUACAUUGCCCAGGCUGGCUCUCAAAUUCCUGGCCUCAAACGAUCCUCUUGCCUUGGCCUCCCAAUAUGCUGGGAUUACAGGCAUGAGCCAACACACCCAGCUGAAAGCAAUUGCUGUGCACAUCGAGAGAAGAUCUUGCUUUGUUUUGUUUAGAACUUUUCCAGGAGUUGUUCACUGUUUUGGAAAAUCACAUUAGCAAUGUCAACAUUACUCAUGGAAUUCGAGCCUCCAGUACAAUACACCCGAUGGGCCUGCCCCAGUGGCUGCCACAUUGACUGUGAUUCUAGGUAUGGAUCCAGGCACCUGCAAUGUUAUUUCUUUUAGCACAGUUCUGCCAAGAAUUUGCAUGUUGAAAUACAUGUUGUUUUAUUGU
rnacentral:lncRNA from 1 species